rnacentral:lncRNA from 1 species
GGUGUGUCAUUCUCUCAUCUACCUCUAACAGCACAAAAUUUGACUUUGCUUUUCAUUUCAAGAGCAAAGAAUUAUCAAAGCAUACAAACACUACAAGGGCUUUAUUUGAUGGUCUGACAAGGCAAAGAAGGAAAUUGGUGUAUCAAGGUAAUGUGAAGGAGCAAAGAGAGCAAUCACAUCAUUUUUACAGUUUUAUCAUCAUACUCUCUUUUGUCAGAAAAUUAGAACAACCAAACACCCACUUGCAGUCACCUUAUUCAUAUAUAUAUAUUUUUUUUCUUUUUCUAUUUUCUUUUUCUUUUUCUUUUAUAGAUGACAUAUAUACAAGAAUGCAUCUCAUCAACCAACACCAAUUCACCAUUGUUACUCAUGCUCCCUUUUUAAUAAUAACUUCCCCC